GAAUAUUGCGCAAUGGAGGGAACUCUGACUCAGCGACGCCGCGUGAGCGAUGAUGGUUAUCGGAUCGUAAAGCUCUGUCCUUGGGGAAGAAGGCGGCCAUUUAUGGUCACUUGACGGUACCCAAGGAGGAAGCCCCGGCUAACUACGUGCCAGCAGCCGCGGUAAUACGUACGGGGCAAGCGUUGUCCGGAAUUAUUGGGCGUAAAGGGUGCGUAGGCGGCCUUUUAAGUCAGAUGUGAAAGACCACGGCUUAACCGUGGGGUUGCAUUUGAAACUGGAGGGCUUGAGUAUCGGAGAGGGUAGUGGAAUUCCCAGUGUAGCGGUGGAAUGCGUAGAUAUUGGGAGGAACACCAGUGGCGAAGGCGACUACCUGGACGAAAACUGACGCUGAGGCACGAAAGCUAGGGGAGCAAACA
rnacentral:rRNA from 1 species